rnacentral:rRNA from 1 species
GAUGAACGCUGGCGGCGUGCCUAAUACAUGCAAGUCGAGCGAACAGACGAGGAGCUUGCUCCUCUGACGUUAGCGGCGGACGGGUGAGUAACACGUGGAUAACCUACCUAUAAGACUGGGAUAACUUCGGGAAACCGGAGCUAAUACCGGAUAAUAUAUUGAACCGCAUGGUUCAAUAGUGAAAGACGGUUUUGCUGUCACUUAUAGAUGUAUCCGCGCCGCAUUAGCUAGUUGGUAAGGUAACGGCUUACCAAGGCAACGAUGCGUAGCCGACCUGAGAGGGUGAUCGGCCACACUGGAACUGAGACACGGUCCAGACUCCUACGGGAGGCAGCAGUAGGGAAUCUUCCGCAAUGGGCGAAAGCUUGACGGAGCAACGCCGCGUGAGUGAUGAAGGUCUUCGGAUCGUAAAACUCUGUUAUUAGGGAAGAACAAAUGUGUAAGUAAAUAUGCACGUCUUGACGGUACCUAAUCAGAAAGCCACGGCUAACUACGUG